ACACACACACACACACACACACCGAAUACAUCUCACCCAUCAUUCAUAGCAAACACUCAUCUUUCCUGCAACCACAUCCUAACCAUAACAUAAAAACACAACUUGCCCACUCUCACACUAAGUGGAUAAUAAAUAUUCUAAUGUGGAUAAAGUGCUGAGUAACAGUGCAAACGGCAUCAUUAAAAAAGUUUAGCUUCAUAAUAAAUAAUAAGUUACUACAGCUGUCAGAUACAUGCAGUGGAGUGAAAAGUAAAAUAUUUCCCUCUGUAAUGUAGUAAAAUAGAAGUAUUACUUAGCAUGAAAUAGACUGUAAAGUACAAGUAAGUUCCUCCACUGUCUACAUUACAAAGAGAGAAAUUUACUCAGCAGAUUCUGAUUUCACAUACAUAACAUUUAU